rnacentral:snRNA from 13 species
AUCGCUUCUCGGCCUUAUGGCUAAGAUCAAAGUGUAGUAUCUGUUCUUAUCAGCUUAAUAUCUGAUACACUUCCCAUUGGGAAGUCAGAAUAUUAAACUGAUUUUUGGAAUCUGACGGAGGAGAUAGGAGCUUGCUUCACCUCUGUCGUGAGUCGUCCUAGCUUUGCAGUACCGCUAGGAUUGGCUCGAUAAUG